UGAACCGUGGAAUCGAAUCCUCCGGCCCUAAUGCUGGAUCCCAGACCUUUUCAGUGAGGGUCCGACGGAGGCUGCCGGACUUUGUCCAAUCUGUGAAUCUUAAGUAUGUGAAAUUGGGGUAUCAUUAUCUCAUCAACCAUGCCAUCUACUUGGCCACCAUCCCUGUCCUGGUGCUUGUCUUCAGCGCUGAGGUUGGGAGUCUCAACAAGGAGGAGCUCUGGAAGAAGCUCUGGGAGGACGCCCGCUACGACCUCGCCACUGUCCUCGGUUUCUUCGGCGUCUUCGUCUUCACCCUCUCCGUUUACAUCAUGUCCCGCCCCCGCUCCAUCUACCUCAUUGACUUCGCAUGCUUCAAACCCCACGACGAUCUCAAGGUAAAUUCUAUUUUUAUUUCGUCCAUUACUAUCAUCUAUGAAUAAAUAUUCAUCACUGAUCUUCGUUUUAUGCAGUUGUCGAAGCAGCAGCUGAUCGAAGCGGUUAGAAGAUCUGGAAAGCACGACGAGGCGAGCAUAGAGUUUCAGAAGAGAAUUCUAAUGUCAUCAGGCAUAGGAGACGAGACGUACAUCCCAAAGGCGGUGAUGGCCGGAGAGAACUGCGCGACGAUGAAAGAAGGACGAGCAGAGGCCGGGAUGGUGAUGUUCGGGGCGCUGGACGAGCUCUUCGAGAAAACCAGAGUCCGGCCGAAGGACGUGGGGGUGCUGGUGGUGAAC
rnacentral:lncRNA from 1 species